GCAAUUAUGUUUUUUCUUCAGGCAACACGUAUUCACGAGUGUGCCAGCUAGAUAUGGAGCCUUACUUAAUGUACCGUUAUGCCGUGAGCUGGCAUACUAACUCUCUUCAAAAUAACAUGUAUUAUCUGCAAAUGCACCCGCUUCCUCCUCUAAAGAGAAGACCAAACAUCUAUAAUCGUAAAAUUAACUUAAAUUUAACAUUAAAUUAUGUGAAUCUAAAUACAUAUUCAGAGAAUAGCUCACUUUAUUACUUUAAAUUUGCAUGUCAACUAUUUUUUACUUAUCUAUACUGCACAUGAACUAUUGUUGAUGAGUCUUUUGCAAGAAAUAUGAUGACCAAGCACAGCUUACUGAAACUGUUGAGAGGAAACGAUAGCUUUCCAUAGAGAAGAUUCUCAUUGUUCUUAAAAGAAUAAUCAAUGAAGAUUGCCUACUACUAUAUUCCAUAAGCAAAGAUGAUCGUCAAAGCCCAUUAUUAUUUUGAGGACAAAAGCACCGCCUAUUGAUACAAAGAAGCCACCGCCUGUUUCAUCUAAGAACCCACCGCCUAUUGAUACAAAGAGAGUUCUUGAGAGAUCAGAUUCAACGGUUCCUCCAAUGUCAGUAGACUUGAAAACAAAGCCAGUUAGUUAUACCCCACAUGUUGGAAGGCCUCCAGCGCUUAAGAAGCCAAAGGCUAAAGACCCUCAUAAGAGGGAUAUGACGUUUGAAGAGAAGCAAAAGCUGAGCAAUAAUUUGCAAAAUCUUCCUCUAGAGAAACUGGAUAAUGUGGUGCAGAUUAUCAAGAAGAGGAACUCAUCACUGAGUCAGCAUGAUGAUGAGAUUGUGGUAGAUAUAGAUAGUGUUGAUACUGAGACUCUUUGGGAGCUGGAUAGGUUUGUUACCAAUUAUAAGAAGAGUCUAAGCAAGAACAAGAGGAAGCCAAAGCUUGGUGAGCUUGCACUUCAGUAAAGGUCGGACAAUCAGCAACAUGAAGGGCAAGAAAUGGUACAGGAAAGGAAUUCUGAUGCUGUAGUUGCAGAAGUGCCAACAGAGAGCAAGACAUUGGUUGAUGAAAAGCAAACGGCUUCCUCUCCACUACAAGCAGGUGAAAAGAAGGGAGAUAAUGCAAGUAGGUCAAGUAGUUCGAGCAGCUCGGGAGAUUCCAUGUUUUGCUCAAAUAUGUGCCUUGUAUCAGUUUCAGAACUGAUAAGGAAGCUUUCAAGAUUUUUAUUGGGAUUUUGUGAGGGAUGAAGAUAUCAUUAUCGUCUUGUAUGAUGUAGCAAUGGAACUUAUUGAAGAAGAGCUUGGUCAGCCUUGGCAUAAGAUUUAUUCUGAGCUUACUCCUUCACCAAUUGCUGCUGCAUCCUUGGGACAAGUGUACAAUGGUAGGCUAAAAGAGAAUGGUGAUUUGGUAGCUAUUAAAGUACAAAGACCAUUUGUUCUUGAGACCGUGACAAUAGAUCUAUUUAUUAUCAGGAAACUGGGAUUAAUAUUGCGAAGGUUCCCACAGGUAAUUUAUCAUUUGCUUAUUCUGAACGUUUGAAGCUGCACGUUCAUUACUAUAACUUGGAUUGAUUCAAACGUUACAGAUUUCCAUAGAUGUUGUUGGGUUAGUACAUGAAUGGGCUGCCCGCUUUUUCGAGGAGCUUAAUUAUGUGAAUGAAGUAAAAAAUGUAAUUAUCUUUGCAAAAAUGAUGAAGAAAUACCUUCCGCAGGGGUUCUUCUAUGAGGAGAGGUGCCCAAUCUAAAGGAUGCAUCGAUUCAGCUAUGCACUCACAUUGCCAGGGAUUGGUUUUACAGUGAAGAUAAGGAACAUAGCAAUAAAGUGAUUGUUCCAGGAUUGUCUAACUGUGGACAACUUUGGUGAUCAAUUGCUUGCGGUUUUUACGUUUUGUUUUUGCAUGUAACAUGUGCCUUAUCUUCCCAGUGAACUUUUGACUUGGAAAAUUCUUUCAUGCUUCUCUUUUCAUUCCUUUACCCAAUGAACUAAUGUGAUGUUGAAUAUUAGUUAUUUGCAUCUAAGAUCAACUAACUUUUUUCUU